rnacentral:rRNA from 1 species
GGAGUUUGGUCCGUGUCUCAGUACCAAUGUGGGGGACCUUCCUCUCAGAACCCCUACUGAUCGUCGCCCCGGUGGGCCGUUACCCCGCCGGCAAGCUAAUCAGACGCAUCCCCAUCCCUCAGCGAUGAAUCUUUGCUCCUCGUUAGAUGCCCGCAAAGGAGAACAUAGGGCAUUAAUCCGACUUUCGCCGGGCUAUUCCCUACUGAGGGCCAGGUUGGAUACGCGUUACUCACCCGUGCGCCGGUCGCCAGCGGAGAUAGCAAGCUAUCUCCCUGAUGCCCCUCGACUUGCAUGUGUUAAGCCUGUAGCUAGCGUUCAUC